rnacentral:rRNA from 1 species
CAUGCAGUCGAGCGGUAGCACAGAGAGCUUGCUCUCGGGUGACGAGCGGCGGACGGGUGAGUAAUGUCUGGGAAACUGCCUGAUGGAGGGGGAUAACUACUGGAAACGGUAGCUAAUACCGCAUAACGUCGCAAGACCAAAGUGGGGGACCUUCGGGCCUCAUGCCAUCAGAUGUGCCCAGAUGGGAUUAGCUAGUAGGUGGGGUAACGGCUCACCUAGGCGACGAUCCCUAGCUGGUCUGAGAGGAUGACCAGCCACACUGGAACUGAGACACGGUCCAGACUCCUACGGGAGGCAGCAGUGGGGAAUAUUGCACAAUGGGCGCAAGCCUGAUGCAGCCAUGCCGCGUGUGUGAAGAAGGCCUUCGGGUUGUAAAGCACUUUCAGCGGGGAGGAAGGCGAUAAGGUUAAUAACCUUGUCGAUUGACGUUACCCGCAGAAGAAGCACCGGCUAACUCCGUGCCAGCAGCCGCGGUAAUACGGAGGGUGCAAGCGUUAAUCGGAAUUACUGGGCGUAAAGCGCACGCAGGCGGUCUGUCAAGUCGGAUGUGAAAUCCCCGGGCUCAACCUGGGAACUGCAUUCGAAACUGGCAGGCUAGAGUCUUGUAGAGGGGGGUAGAAUUCCAGGUGUAGCGGUGAAAUGCGUAGAGAUCUGGAGGAAUACCGGUGGCGAAGGCGGCCCCCUGGACAAAGACUGACGCUCAGGUGCGAAAGCGUGGGGAGCAAACAGGAUUAGAUACCCUGGUAGUCCACGCCGUAAACGAUGUCGAUUUGGAGGUUGUGCCCUUGAGGCGUGGCUUCCGGAGCUAACGCGUUAAAUCGACCGCCUGGGGAGUACGGCCGCAAGGUUAAAACUCAAAUGAAUUGACGGGGGCCCGCACAAGCGGUGGAGCAUGUGGUUUAAUUC